UCUGAAUUCUAAGUAUAGACCCAUGAUGAAAGAUCUCAGAGGCAAUAGCCAUUGCUCCAAAAUAGCCCGGUUAAUAUUUGCAGAGUGGUUCAGCUCUUCCCUCUGUCCUGUCUGUCUGUCUGUCAAAAAGAUGCUAUGGCUCUGAUUAAAACCAUUACAGUCCUUCAAAGGUCAUACAUGGCUUUCAGGCUUCAGCCUCAGUAGCAGCAGGCAGUGUGAUUUCAUGCCUGUUAAUUGGUACAACAUUGGUCAGUUUAAGAAGAUGCCAAAGGUCAAUUCCUGUUCUCGGGUACUAAAUCUUCACUUGAGUUUCAUUCGCCUUCAGGAAGAAAAAGUACAAUGGGAGAGAAUUCUUGAGAUCCUUUGUGAAACAAGAAUUAAUUAUUUUAUUCCACUGAACUGGAUGUGAGAAAAAGGAAGAAAAAUAAGAGCAUCACUGAAGACACCUUGGGACUACCUGCAGCCAAAGUAUUAGCUGAGGCCCAUCCUUGGCCAGAAGGAAGCCAUUUGGCAGAAUGCGAGGAAUCACAUCCCUGCACAUCAUGGUUUCUGAUGCUUGUCUUUCCCCCCUUUUCAUUCCUAUUACCCGGGACAUUGUAACUUUGUCGCUCAGAUAACUGACUGAACAUAUCCUCACAUCAAUGUGAAACCAGCAAUCUAUGAGAGACAUAGCACACAACAAACCACACAGCAAGGCAACAUCUUUAGCACAGCUCCUACAGAAUGUCAUGUCCCUAAGAUACGUGAGCUAUCCACUCUAUGUCUUUUAUCUUCCAUUACUAAACAUACCAGGGUCACCAUUUUGCUAUGGUAAUAGUUCCCAAAUGCCGUAACAUAGAGGACAUUAUGUUGAUGCCACCAAGACAUUUAUUUCACUGUGGUGGUGUCAGGGUGUGAUAAACUCACCUAUCAAUGAAGAAAUACUUCACUCAAUUUCAAAACCACAAGUCUAGUCAGCCAAUUUUAAAAUGAUUGAAUCACUGGGUAAAAUUAAUUAAUUAAAUCAUUGAUUUCAGGGGAUAAGACAGUAGUUAUUCCUCUAUAAACACCUAUGUAGCAAACCAUGUGUCCCUUUUAUUUCUUCGACAUUGAAAAUUUCCUUAACUACAUAGAGGUUGCAGAAGCUGACUUUUUUGACAAUUAAUCUUCCACAACCAGAUGAACAUUUCUAAAUGAGAAUAAUGGAAAAAUCUAUCUGCUUCCAGCCACAGCUCUCACUGUGCAGAUCACAUGAUACUGUGGAUCUGAGCGGUGCACAAAGGUCCACAUUCUCAGAGCUUUAUACAGAGAAAAUUGGAAGCUUAGAGAAAUCCUAGGGAAGUAAUUUCUCCUGAAAAAGUAUAUUUCUAAGAUCUUUGAUUAUAGCCUAUCCUAUUAUAUAUCCUAUACAGCCUAUUAUAGCCUAACAGAAGCUGUUAAGCAUUUAAAAUUUUACUAACUAUAGAAUAUUAGUAUCUUUACAUAUGCUACUUUAUUUAAAUCUUUCAACAUGGACACUAUCAUGACCAUUUCCUAAAUAGGAAAACUGAGGUUUAUGGACAUUAUUUUUCUCAAGUGGUAGAGUCAAGUUUUGAAUCCAGGCCUAAAUUCUGUAUUUGUACUGUAAUGGUUAUGGAAUCUGUGGGAUCUGUGCUAGAAUACUAGUUGAGCCACUUAAUUACUUAAUCUGGGCCUUGGUUGCCUCAUCUAUAAAAUGGAACUAAUAGCACCUGACAGCUUCUCUCAAUCUCAGCACUACUGACAGUAUGCACUAAAUAAUUCUUUGCUGAAAGGACUGUCCCAUGCAGUUUAGGAUGUUCAGCAGCCUCCCUGCCUCUGCCCACUAUACCAGUAGCUUGUCUCCAUAAUUGUGACAACCAAAAAUUGCUACAGACAUUGCCACAUAUUCCCUGGAGAGUAAAAUCACUCUGGUUGAGAACUAUGGAUAAAGAUUAUAAGACAGUUGUGAAGAGUCCAUUAUUAGUGGACUACAUACAUACAUACAAAGAGCUCAAAAGAUGAUGAUGGUGAGGAUGGAGGAAGAGGAGGAGGAGGAAGAGGAGGAGGAGGAGGAGGAGGAGGAGGAGAACACUUGCAUUUGACUAAAUUGUACCUAUGUUUUAUUCAGGCCUGACUGGGUGGGUAUAACUGGAAAAACUCAUGAAAGACUUGAUUUAGAAAGAAAAUAAAAUUUAUUUAUUUAUUGGAAAAUAAAAUUUAAAACAGCUGGAAAGUACCUAGUUUGUAAGAUUAUUUCAGGAAAAUUUCCAUAAACCUUUUUCUUUUUUAUUAGGUAAAAAUGCUUUGUAUAUAAGAUUAUAUAUUAAGCUUCCAAGUAAAUAUUUGCUUAGUAUAAUGUUAGUACACAUCAGCAUAGAACUAAUACUAUAUUGAAAUCUAUGUUCAGAUUUGAAUAGAUGGAACAUCCAUCACUUAAAAGAAUAGCACAAAUAUUAUGUUUUCCUUUGUCAGGCUAAUUAAGCUUGAAAUGAAUUUAUACUUGAGAACAUUUAGUCAUGGAUUAAUAUAUUUAGUAUUGAAUGUUAUAACUGUGAUUAUUAGCAUGAUAAGAUUAUCAAUGAAAUUAAAUUACAGAAUGUAUCUUACCUAAAGUCUUAACAGGAUCAGAAUAAUCAGAAUCAGUAAAUUGUCCCAUAACAUUUGUGGCUCUAAAUUUAAAUCUAUGAAAUAAAAAAAUUAAGACAAACAAUUUGCAUGCCAUAUUACUUUUUCCUAUAAAUAAUUUAACAAACAAUGAAAAAUACAAAAAAACCCAAACAAACAAAAUCAAUGAAAGAUACACAUUUUUAUUCAAGAGAAAAUUAUUUGUAAGAUGUAAACUUGGAAAUCAAUUGUCAUCAGAACAAUAUAUCCUAUCUUUAUGUGAGAUGAAUAAUUAUCCUGCACAUAAAAAAGUAACUAAAAGUUUGGCCAGACUCAUGAGCAGUCAGAAGGUUAUAAACAGUUGUGAUAAAGUGUGUUACACAAACAUACUUUAUAAAGUAUAAUAACCAUUAUACCUCAACUACCUUUGAAAAUACCAGUGACCUAGAUUUAGAAUGGUCAUACAGAACUUUGUUCACAUUAAUAAAUUAAGAAAAAUGAUUCUUAA